UGUUGGAGAUCAGACUGCGGUGUAAGAUCCGUAGUCGAAGAGGGAAACAGCCCAGCCGCCAGUUAAGGUCCCCAAGUAUCCGUUGAGUGGAAAAGGAUGUGGCGCUGCCCAGACAACCAGGAUGUUGGCUUAGAAGCAGCCACCAUUUAAAGAGUGCGUAAUAGCUCACUGGUCGAGUGGCGCUGCGCCGAAAAUGUACCGGGGCUAAACGGAUCACCGAAACUGCGGAUUGACACCUCUGGUGUCAGUGGUAGGAGAGCGUUCCAAGGGCGUUGAAGCUAGACCGUAAGGACUGGUGGAGCGCUUGGAAGUGAGAAUGCCGGUAUGAGUAGCGAAAGAAGGGUGAGAAUCCCUUCCACCGAAUGCCUAAGGUUUCCUGAGGAAGGCUCGUCCGCUCAGGGUUAGUCGGGACCUAAGUCGAGGCCGAAAGGCGUAGACGAUGGACAACAGGUUGAUAUUCCUGUACCACCUCCCCGCCGUUAUCAGCAAUGGGGGGACGCAGAAGGAUAGGGUGAGCGCGCUGUUGGUCAUGCGCGUCUAAGCAGUGAGGUGUGGAACGAGGAAAAUCCCGUUCCUAUAACAUUGAGCUGUGAUGGCAAGGGGAAUUAUUCCCCGGAGUCCCUGAUUUCACACUGCCAAGAAAAGCCUCUAGCGAGGCGGGAGGUGCCCGUACCGCAAACCGACACAGGUAGGCGAGGAGAGAAUCCUAAGGUGAUCGAGAGAACUCUCGUUAAGGAACUCGGCAAAAUGACCCCGUAACUUCGGGAGAAGGGGUGCUCUGGUAGGGUGUUAAAGCCCGAGAGAGCCGCAGUGAAUAGGCCCAGGCGACUGUUUAGCAAAAACACAGGUCUCUGCAAAACCGUAAGGUGACGUAUAGGGGCUGACGCCUGCCCGGUGCUGGAAGGUUAAGAGGAGAGGUCAGCGCAAGCGAAGCUUCGAAUUGAAGCCCCAGUAAACGGCGGCCGUAACUAUAACGGUCCUAAGGUAGCGAAAUUCCUUGUCGGGUAAGUUCCGACCCGCACGAAAGGCGUAACGAUCUGGGCACUGUCUCAACGAGAGACUCGGUGAAAUUAUAAUAUGCGUGAAGAUGCGCAUUACCCGCGACAGGACGGAAAGACCCCGUGGAGCUUUACUGUAGCCUGAUAUUGAAUUCCGGUGCAGCCUGUACAGGAUAGGUAGGAGCCUUGGAAUCCGGAGCGCCAGCUUCGGAGGAGGCAAUGGUGGGAUACUACCCUGGCUGUAUUGGACUUCUAACCCUUGCCCGUGAUCCGGGCAGGAGACAGUGUCAGGUGGGCAGUUUGACUGGGGCGGUCGCCUCCUAAAGUGUAACGGAGGCGCCCAAAGGUUCCCUCAGAAUGGUUGGACAUCAUUCGUAGAGUGCAAAGGCAUAAGGGAGCUUGACUGCGAGACCUACAAGUCGAGCAGGGUCGAAAGACGGGCUUAGUGAUCCGGUGGUUCCGCAUGGAAGGGCCAUCGCUCAACGGAUAAAAGCUACCCCGGGGAUAACAGGCUUAUCUCCCCCAAGAGUCCACAUCGACGGGGAGUUUGGCACCUCGAUGUCGGCUCAUCGCAUCCUGGGGCUG
rnacentral:rRNA from 1 species